GUACCCCUUUUGGGAGGUAAACAAAAUAACCUCUGCCCUCAUUUCACUUUAAAAGAUGAACACUAAGUUGAAUUAAAACAAUAUAUUUAUCGAGUACAAUAAAGUAGGUUGUGACGGACAAACUGUAGUCCCGGUUAACGGCACUCAGCGGUCACAACGGUAACUCAGCUGGGACUCGCAAGGUUCCAGAUCAUCCAUAUGAGAGGUUUCAACGUCAAAUUGAGCAGAUCCACAGAGGGGACUCUAAUGAAAACAGCUCCCAGUUUUCCCAGAGUCCAUCAGAUGGAAGGACGCCUGAGGAUUGUCAGCCUGUCUCCACACGUCGCUGCCCCGAGUGGAUCAAAAAGGAGAUGAAGAGGGUCUACAAAAGAGUUGCCAUCCUCUCCGGAAUCCAGUAAAGUCCGGGUGAGUUGUUGGUGCUACAAAAUGUUUUAACCUAUAAUUGGAGAGUUUAUCUGGUUGGGAAGCAUCAUUUUACUCUCAAGAGACACCUGGCAAAGACACAUCAGCAAUAUGACAUUAAGGUAAAGUCAGGAAUUCAUACAAAGAUAAUUAUAGGGCAACUGUUCAGCGUCAAUCAACUCAUUUAUAAAGUGUUUACUAACUUAUUU